GCCAGAUAUGAGUAGAGAAAACAGGGAGAGGAAAACAUAAAAGCAAAGAGGGAUGGCAACAAAAACCUUCCUUCAAAUCCUGUUCAACCUUUCCUGAGUGGCCACUGGAUUUUCAUACAAAGCACUCCAAGAAGAAACUAUAUAGGGCAAGAGGGGAAAACAAAAGGACACACAGUACUUAUUUGAAAACUACUUCAUAAAAGAGUGUUGAAGACUUUUCAGCCUUUGAGAUAUGAUAAGAACAAUUAAUUUUGUCCUAAGAUGAAUCCACUCAUUGCUGAAAGGAGGCAAAGUUCAAGGAAAUGAUCAGCAUCUCUUAAACUGAGAGGAAUGAAAAAAAAAUCAACACCAAUGUUUUUCUGCAUGUUGGGUAGGAGAUACUAACCAAGGACUGAUACUACUUGUUGCAUCCCUUUGUAAGUAACAUGUCACUUUGAUAUUUUAUUGAAUAUGUAUAUUCUGAUUAAAUGAGUAGAUGUAAACAAUGACAUACAGCAGACCAUUGCUGAGUCAGAUCUCUACAAGGCCAAAGCCAUUUUAGGUUUUAUUAUACAAAUCCAGCAAGAAUACUUAUCACAUAGACUUUUUUUUUUUUCUUUUAACAUAGUUAUUCCUGAAAUUAUAUGCAUAUUAUAUAUUCAGCUUAUUACACAAUAUAUAUUCCAUAAUUUUAUUAUAAUAUGGUUAAAAAUAUCUGCAAAUUGUUCAGAGAUUAUCUUGAUAAUGGAAAGAAUUACUUCAUUCUUAUGCUAAGUACUUGACUCCUUCAUAAAUAUUGAGCUAUUUUCUGACAUCAAUGAGUAGUAAGGCAGACUUCCAUAUAAUGAUACACUGUGGGCAAUUCUAAACUGCAGUGUACUGAUUUUGAAGUAAGCACUAUUUUGGUAUGAAGGAAAUGUUUUAUUUACUGAUUAGGUUCCAACUAUAGAAUUGUGUUGCCUUUCUUGCUUAUAUUUGCCCUGGCCAGGUAAGAUGAAAGGUAUAGACUUGCAGGAUUUAAGAACCAUUUCAAUAAUCAGUAAUGUUAUUUUAAAAUCUCACUAC